rnacentral:rRNA from 1 species
AUGGUCACAUGCUGCAUGCGUGCUCUGUACGUUUUAGACCUUUACUUGUACUGGUACGAGCAGCAGGACCCAACAUCCAUCCAUCUUGAAGCAAAAGGAAGCGGAAAUGACGAUAGUCCUGGAUGCCAUCGCAUCCUACUUGCAAAACAUGCUCAUGGAGAUGGUGACAGUGAAGAGGUGCACAUGCUGCUUGGAGUCACGAACGAGAUCAAGAAGAUGGACGUCAAGCUUAAGGACCUCAAGAACUUCCUCGCCGACGCUGACCAGAGAGACAUCACCGACGAGAGUGUGCAAGAGUGGGUGGCCCAGCUCAAGUGUGCCAUGUACAAAGCUACAGAUAUCCUUGACCUCUGUCAGCUCAAGGCCAUGGAGCACGGUCCAUCCACUGCAGAUGUGGGGUGCUUCAAUCCCUUGCUCUUCUGCAUGCGGAAUCCCUCCCAUGCCCAUGACAUCAGCACCCGCAUCAAGGCGCUCAACCAGAAUCUUGAUGCCAUCAAGGAGCGAAGCUCUGCUUUGAGCUUCAUACCACUUGGUUCCUCUGAAGAUCAUAGCAGCAAGAUCCAUGGCUCUCAUUCCGGUGAUACCAGGCGUGAGACGUCAGGGGAGUUUGAUUGGUCGGGUUUAGUCGGAGAGAAGAUCGAACAAGAUACAAAAAAGCUGGUUGAGACCAUGCUAACUGAAAAGGAGGGCAACACCAACAUCAUGGUGGUCGAUCACCAUUGUUGGUGUCGGCGGAAUUGGCAAGACCACUCUUGCGCAAAAGGUCUUCAAUGA